rnacentral:rRNA from 1 species
CAAUAGCGUAUAUUAAAGUCGUUGCAGUUAAAAAGCUCGUAGUUGGAUUUCUGGUAGGAGCGACCGUGCCGAACUUGAUUGUUCGAGUAUUGUGUUGUCUUCAGCCAUCCUCGUGGAGAACUUUUCUAACAUUAACUUGUUGGGAUUGGGACCCGCGUCGUUUACUGUGAAAAAAUUAGAGUGUUUAAAGCAGGCAUUAGCUUGAAUACAUUAGCAUGGAAUAAUAAGAUAGGACUUUGGUACUAUUUUGUUGGUUUGCAUACCAAAUUAAUGAUCAACAGGAACAGUUUGAGGAUAUUCGUAUGAACAUGUCAGAGGUGAAAUUCUUGGAUUUUGAUCAGACGAACUACUGCGAAAGCAUUUAUCAAGGAUGUUUUCAUUAA